CAAAGGUAACCGGAUCGUUGUGAGGACCGACGCCCCGCGGUCGGAUAUGGACUGGCGGCAGACUUUUAGCGUCCAUCCACCUGAGGCGGAGUCUGGAGCUCCAGAGUCUUCACCUCCUCACACUCCGCCUCUUUCGGUGAGUCUCUUUUAAACUGCUACACCUCUAACGAGGCUGAAGUUGGUUUGAUAUUCGCAGCUCCAGAUUCGUUUGGCUCGAUAUU
rnacentral:lncRNA from 1 species